GGAGGAUGCACUGCAGGAGCUGUAAGGAGGUAGCUCUGGCAGGGCAGCCUUGGAAACCAAAGGAAAACAAAAUAUUCAAAAGAGCCAGGCUGAUAAUUUUGACAGGCUGGAAAUGAAGCAGUAUUCCAGAGAUUAUGCCAGGAAGUGGAUAUUGGAAAUUUUGGCAAAGCAGCUGAAUGUGAAGGGGCAAGAACCUAGAUGAGAGGGAAUUUAAGAUAUGCAGAGGAGAGGAACUCUAGACAGCAGUAAAAUAGCAGUGAGUGUGGGGAUGAAGAGUAGGAGAAAAAGGAAUGAUAAGCAAGAAUCCAAAUGAAUCCAAGCAUGGUUUAUUUUUUUUUUUUUUUAAUAAAAGACAUGGAUAGCAUUGAUCCAUAGCUGCAUUGAAAGUGAGAGGUGAGGGAGAGUGGACAGGAGGGAAGGAGCAUGGGCAUGAGGAGGGUGAGGACAGGGAGGCAAGCAGGGAGGCCAGGAUUAGCAAAGGACACCUGAAGAAGCAGUGUCUGCCUCUGACCUUGGCUGUGGAAGAGGGGGAAGGAGGAAAGGUGCAUUGGCUGUGGGACAGCAGUUUUCUUUGGAAAGACAGGCAAAAUCCUACCCAGGAAAAGAGGGAAAGUGUGACACAAAGGCAGCUGGACCUAGGUCCCAGGGGUUGGGUUGCACUGGCAAAGAGAGGCUGUUUACGUGGGAAGGUGGCAGGACUGGAGCAGCAGGAGAGGAUGACUGCAGUGGAGGAAGUCAAACCCGGGAUGGGGUUUCCACUAGGAAUGACAGAGCAGCGGGAGGGAGAGCAACACUAGAGCAAAUGGAUGCUGGGGGCGAGCCAAUACUGUCUUUGUGACAGGAGAGAGUGUCAGAGAAGGAGGAGCAAGGAGGCUGGAGAGACCCAAUAACGAAAUAAAUGUAAGAGAAGGGAAGGGGAGCCGGGAGUGGCUGGAUAAAACCCACGGAGGGCUGCGAGCGAGGGCCGGCGGAGGGGGAAGACCCGGCGUGAGCACAGGGCAGGCCCGAGCAGCAGCAUUAGCAGGUGAGGAUGCGGUGCGGGCUGGGGCCGUGCCGAGCCCCAGGCGCCGCAGGGCCGCCGCAGGGCAGGAGCGCGGGGCGGGGGCUCCUCCCGCGCCGUCCCCGCCCCCCGCUCCGCACCGCGCGGGGCACGCAGAGCUCACGCAGCGCCGCGCGGGGCUGCGGUACCGCCGGUCCCUCCGCACAGCGCGGAGCCGCCGCCGGGGCAGCGCCGAGGUAGGGCCGGGAGCGGGGCUGGGGGGCGGCCCCUCUUCCCGGGUGCGUGUGCGCAGCGCGGGCGGCGCCCGCAGCCUCCGCAGCCCCGAUCGGCGCGGAGCGGGCUCGGCGCAGUCAGAGCCGCCCCGCCCUACCCUACCCUACCCUACCCUACCCUACCCUACCCUACCCUACCCUGCGGCGGCCCCGGCCCGUCCCUGGGGGCAGCGGCGGCCGCCGCCCCUUUCCCUCCCUCCCCUUCCCCGCCCGCGGUGCCUCCUCCGCCGCGCAGCCGCACGCCCCGCGCGGUGCGGUGCGGAGAGCCCGGCUCGACUGCUGCUCCUGCGGUAUUCCUUGCUAGACGGAUUAAUAAUCAUUGUGCUAAAGUGAAGAGCUGGACUGGUGAGAUGGUCUGAGGCAUCAGCAGGGGAGAAGGACCAACUGGGAGGGAAAGUAUCCUGCAAAGAGGGUAAUGGAAAGGCUUUCUGUGCUUGUCCAGCCUUGGUUUCAGAGGGCUACCAGAAAGGAGGCAGUGUGUGAUUUUGGUUUCUCUGAGGUACAUAUCUGAUCUGUGGGAUCAGGACACCAUUCUCAUUGUCACAGUGGUUGUAUCCAUGCUUGUCACCAGAACUAUGUGCUCUGGGGUGACCAGGAGAUGGGAGUGUCUGUGUCCCCUUUUCAAUCCUGUCACACAAUCAGUGGGAGUUAGAGAUGAAUUUACAAUUUACCUUUAAUGCCAGGAAAGCUGCAAUAGAUUGAGCUAUGUGUUAGCCAGGGAACAGUAUUUACAUAGGUCAUGAGACCAUUUGGGGAUUGCUGUUCAAACUAUUUUUCAUCAUUAGCAGCACCAUAAAAACUUCUUGAUGGUCUUUAGUUAGAGUUACAUGAAUCUCACUACAACUUAGCAUGUUUCCUGGAAGAAUAGUAAUUCUUGAAAAAACAAUGUUUGCUUUAAAGAUAAAUGUAACUAUUAGGAAGUAAUUCCAGAUGUGUGGUUAUGGCAGAAUUUCAGGGAUUAUAGUCAUAGCUGUUUAGUGAAUUACAUGAUUGCAUUUAAGAGUAGCCAAUGAAUUUUUUAAAAAUUAAUUCAUUCUUCAGAUGGGCUGAAUAAAACUGUUUGAUUUCUAUUAUCUGAGAAACA
ensembl:lncRNA